UAGGAAGUAGUGUAAUGGAAGCACGAAGAAUUUUGAUUUCUUAAGUUCAGAUUCAAUUUCUGUUUUUCUAA
rnacentral:tRNA from 1 species